rnacentral:rRNA from 1 species
CCAGCAGCUGCGGUAAUUUCUGCUCCAAUAGCGUAUAUUAAAGUUGUUGCGGUUAAAAAGCUCGUAGUUGGAUUUCUGCUGAGAACGACCGGUCCGCCCUCUGGGUGUGUAUCUGGCUCUUUCUUGGCAUCUUCUUGGUGAACGUUACUGCACUUGACUGUGUGGAGCGCUACCCAGGACUUUUACUUUGAGGAAAUUAGAGUGUUUCAGGCAGGCUAGGCCGGAAUACAUUAGCAUGGAAUAAUGGAAUAGGACUACGGUCUCUUUGUUGGUUGAGGGGCUGCAGUAAUGAUUAAUAGGGAUAGUUGGGGGCAUUAGUACUUAACUGUCAGAGGUGAAAUUCUCGGAUUUGUUAAAGACUAACUUAUGCGAAAGCAUUUGCCAAGGAUGUUUUCAUUAAUCAAGAACGAAAGU